AUCCAGCUGACGAGUCUUAAAUAAGACGAAACGCAUGUCUUUGAU
rnacentral:hammerhead_ribozyme from 1 species